UGGUUUAAUUCGACGCAACGCGAAGAACCUUACCAGGGCUUGACCAUCCCCUGACCGCGUAUGAAAGACGUUUCACCUCGGGUGACAGGGAGACAGGUGGUGCAUGGUUGUCGUCAGCUCGUGUCGUGAGAUGUUGGGUUAAGUCCCGCAACGAGCGCAACCCCUACGUUUAGUUGCUAACGCGUGAAGGCGAGCACUCUAGACGAACUGCCGUUGACAAAACGGAGGAAGUGGGGAUGACGUCAAAUCAUCAUGCCCCUUAUGUUCUGGGCUACACACGUGCUACAAUGGCCGGUACAGACGGACGCAAAACCGCGAGGUGGAGCAAAUCCUAAAAAGCCGGUCUCAGUUCGGAUUGCAGGCUGCAAUUCGCCUGCAUGAAGUCGGAAUCGCUAGUAAUCGCAGGUCAGCAUACUGCGGUGAAUACGUUCCCGGGCCUU
rnacentral:rRNA from 1 species